GAUGAACGCUGGCGGCGUGCCUAAUACAUGCUAGUCGAGCGAAGCGGGGACGGGUGAGUAACACGUGGACAACCUCCUAUAAGACUGGGAUAACUUCGUGAAACCGGAGCUAAACCGGUGACUUAUAGAUGGACACGCGCUGCAUUAGCUAGUUGGUAAGGUAACGGCUUACCAAGGCAACGAUGCAUAGCCGACCUGAGAGUGUGAUCGGCCACACUGGAACUGAGACAGGGUACAGACUCCUACGGGAGGCAGCAGGUGGGAAUCUUCCGCAAAGGGCGAAAGCCUGACGUAGCAACGCCGGGUGAGUGAUGAAGGUCUUCGGAUCGUAAAACUCUGUUAUUAGAGAAGCGGUACCUAAUCAGAAAGCCACGGCUGAAUACGUGUCAGCAGCCGCGGUAAUC
rnacentral:rRNA from 1 species